rnacentral:lncRNA from 1 species
AUGGAUAAUGCCAGUGAUGAGUAUGGCCUCUUCACAGCCUAUGGUGAAUCUCAUCUGCCAUCUGUCGCCCCGCAGCUUGGCUUUGUUCAGCAGCAGAGGAGCUCUUCAGUCCUCACUGUGCUGAGCAAUUGUUACUUCUCACCCUUGUCAGCUCUACAGAAACAAAGCACCGCUGGAGUGAAUGGUUUUUAUUCUCCACGUAUAAUUAAUCAUCAAUUAAGCUUCAGGAGCAGGCCACCUAUAAAAUGUCGCCCACUUAUUCUUGGCAGGGAGAAGACGCUGUAAGUCCUGUCUGCCUCACCAGAUAACCAGAAAAUACAUAUCAGAGCAUGCCCUCCUGAGACAACAUGAGGAAUUUGCCAUUCUACAAUUUAUGGAUGCUGCUGGAGGUUGUGAGCUCCAUCUGUAUCUUUGUCAGACUGCAAGCUCUCUUUUGUUUUGAAGGUUGGCACGUGUCACAUCUUUCCUGCUGGAUUAAAUCUCAUGCAGGUGUAUGAUGGUCAGUGACCAAGCACCAUGGAAUUCUGUGGUUCCAGACACUCAGUUGAUCCUGCUGAGAAGACCAGUCUGUGGAAGCUGUGGUCACCUUGGCCACAAACUAGUCUAACAGAAGACUGCAUUCACCUUCUGAGAACUGGAUGGGAGCUGAAGAGCUAGAGAAUAGAAGUGAUCCUCUCAGUGUCUUUGGAAUUCAGGAAGUGGCAGAUCCAGCACCUUGCACUUUUCCAUGCUUCUUGGAGAUGUUCUAAAGAGGACCAAGUCCUUAUUCAGAACGAAAUUUCUUCUCCCCUCAAAAUGAAACUAAUGACUAAAAUAUUGUCCAAUUCAGAGCUGAAAAGGAAGCUUUAACUUUACAUUAAUAGGCAUUGAACCAGUCUCUGAAAUAAUGAAGUACUAGAAAUUAUGACUUAAAUGAUUUCAGGUUUUAAAACAGCUGUAGUAGCAGAAGCUUCUGAGUCAUCAGGGCUUCCACAAAAAAAAAUCUAAAGAAAUAAAUACAAUGCAUCUUUACCA